AAUGUUUGGGAAAUGUAAUUUUGCCGUUUAUUCUUUUAUUGAAAUAUUUUUUGAAUGUUUACACCAAAUGUGUGAAUGUUGUUGUUUAAUCACGUUAAGUAUAAGCUGCCUUUAGCACACUUCAGCAAGAUAUAUGGUAAUGACGUAUAUCAGCUGUAACUGUUUCCCUUUCCUGUUAUUUGUCAUGAUUAUUGUCAUUUAAAUGUUAUUCUGUUUUCCCCAUAUAUGUUAAGCACCCGUUUUACUCAGUGUAACAGUAAGGCAGUAGAAAGCUUCCUGACAAAUGAUGUCAUAUUGAGCUGAUUACAAAAACACACUCGUUCUCAGAGUGUGUCAGUAGUUCGGUACUUUACAGCCACUGGAAAGUUCUAGAAAGUACCAGAAUAUUCUAGAAAGCAUCAGAUCCAUAAAGUCUAAGGAUACAUGUGGAAGAACGUGGUGGUAAACCACUUCCAAAUUCUUCCCUGCCUUUAAACUACGUGUGCGCUCGCCAGAAUUGACUUCAGCCAGAUGGCACCGAGCCGACCGUAUACAGAUGAAGAAAAAUGAGGACCCAAGAGAGAUGCUGCUGUGAUGAACAAAGGGAGUCUGGUGACUGAGAGCAGGACGGUCUCUGUGAGCUCUUCUCCUGCUCUGAAAGUACACUGCUGCUGUCACCGUGUGGCUCUGACACACCACCCGAGAGCGGGCAGCGCGGUCCUCUUCGAUGCGAUUGCCUUUGCAGCUGGAGAUGUAGGUACGCGUCAUUUUCUCAUGGCAUAAAUAAUAAAUAAAAGGAAGCGCUUAUUGGGUACAGAGUCCAGUUUUACAGGACUACUUCCCAUUUACUUACAUCGAUUCAUUCAGCAGACACUUUUCUCCAUUG